rnacentral:rRNA from 1 species
UAGAGUAUACGAAGGCGUUUGAGUUAACAAUCAUUAAGGAACUCGGCAAAUUGACACCGUAACUUUGGGAUAAGGUGUGCCAUUCUUUCUGAACAAUAUCAGAUUAAGAAUAGGAGGCAUAGAAUGGUGUUGUACGACUGUUUAAUUAAAACAAAGCACUUUGCGUAAGAUGAUAAAUCAAAGUAUUGAGUGUGAUUUCUGCCCAAUGUUGGCUGGUUAACGGAUUUACUUAGUUGACUAAAAUAAGCUAGGUUUUGAAGGAACCCCC